rnacentral:rRNA from 1 species
AGCGAACGCUGGCGGCAGGCCUAACACAUGCAAGUCGAACGAGCCUUCGGGCUAGUGGCGGACGGGUGAGUAACACGUGGGAACAUACCUUUAGGUUCGGAGUAACUCAGGGAAACUUGAGCUAAUACCGGAUGUGCCCUCCGGGGAAAGAUUUAUCGCCUUUAGAGCGGCCCGCGUUAGAUUAGCUAGUUGGUGGGGUAAUGGCCCACCAAGGCUACGAUCUAUAGCUGGUCUGAGAGGAUGAUCAGCCACACUGGGACUGAGACACGGCCCAGACUCCUACGGGAGGCAGCAGUGGGGAAUCUUGCGCAAUGGGCGAAAGCCUGACGCAGCCAUGCCGCGUGAAUGAUGAAGGUCUUAGGAUUGUAAAAUUCUUUUAGCAGGGACGAUAAUGACGGUACCUGCAGAAAAAGCCCCGGCUAACUUCGUGCCAGCAGCCGCGGUAA